UACGGGGGGGGCAAGCGUUGUUCGGAAUUACUGGGCGUAAAGGGCUCGUAGGUGGCCAACUAAGUCAGACGUGAAAUCCCUCGGCUUAACCGGGGAACUGCGUCUGAUACUGGAUGGCUUGAGUUUGGGAGAGGGAUGCGGAAUUCCAGGUGUAGCGGUGAAAUGCGUAGAUAUCUGGAGGAACACCGGUGGCGAAGGCGGCAUCCUGGACCGACACUGACGCUGAGGAGCGAAAGCCAGGGGAGCAAACAGG
rnacentral:rRNA from 1 species